GACGAACGCUGGCGGCGUGCCUAAUACAUGCAAGUAGAACGCACAGUUUAUACCGUAGCUUGCUACACCAUAGACUGUGAGUUGCGAACGGGUGAGUAACGCGUAGGUAACCUGCCUGGUAGCGGGGGAUAACUAUUGGAAACGAUAGCUAAUACCGCAUAAUAUUAAUUAUUGCAUGAUAAUUAAUUGAAAGGUGCAAUUGCACCACUACCAGAUGGACCUGCGUUGUAUUAGCUAGUAGGUGAGGUAACGGCUCACCUAGGCGACGAUACAUAGCCGACCUGAGAGGGUGAUCGGCCACACUGGGACUGAGACACGGCCCAGACUCCUACGGGAGGCAGCAGUAGGGAAUCUUCGGCAAUAGACGAAAGUCUGACCGAGCAACGCCGCGUGAGUGAAGAAGGUUUUCGGAUCGUAAAGCUCUGUUGUAAGAGAAGAACGGGUGUGAGAGUGGAAAGUUCACACUGUGGCGGUAUCUUACCAGAAAGGGAUGGCUAACUACGUG
rnacentral:rRNA from 1 species